UGAAACUGCGAAGGAUCAUUAAAUCAGCAAUCGUUUACUUGAUUGUGUGCUAUUAUGGAGUUGGCUGGGGGGUUCGCCUUUCAGUCAAAGCUAUUAUGGCUGUAUGGAUAACCGUGGUAAUUCAAGAGCUAAUACAUUAUUAACAAGAGGUUGACUUUUCGCAAGAGAGGAAGACUGCAUUUAUUAGAUACAAUUGCAAAACCGAAACCUCCGGGCAACCGGGGUUUUAAUAGUUGGUGAUUCAUAGUGACUGUGCGAAUCGCAUGACACUCACUCUCACGAGUGAGAAUUUGUCGGCGAUGGAUCAUUCAAAUUUCUGACCCAUCAAUUCUCGAUGGUUGGAUAGAGGCCAACCAUGUUGACGACGGGUAACGGAGAAUUGGGGUUCGAUUCCGGAGAGGGAGCCUGGAGAAACGGCUCCCACUUCCAAGGAAGGCAGCAGGCGCGCAAAUUGCCCAAUCCUAAUACAGGGAGGCAGUGACAAGAAAUAACAAUGCAGGCCUCUUGAAAUAUAGAGACUGCAAUUGGAAUGAGUACAAUUUAAAACGCUUAACAAGGAACAAUUGGAGGGCAAGUCUGGUGCCAGCAGCCGCGGUAAUUCCAGCUCCAAUAGCGUAUGCUAAAAUUGCUGUAGUUGAAAAGCUCGUAGUUGGAUUUCGGAGUAAAAAGGAUGGGAUGGAGU
rnacentral:rRNA from 1 species